rnacentral:rRNA from 1 species
UGAACGCUGGCGGUAUGCUUAACACAUGCAAGUCGAACGGAAACGAUACUAGCUUGCUAGUAGGCGUCGAGUGGCGGACGGGUGAGUAACGCGUAGGAAUCUGCCUGAUAGUGGGGGAUAGCCCGAAGAAAUUCGGAUUAAUACCGCAUAAUCUAUUCGUAGUAAAGUGGGGGACUUUCGAGCCUCACGCUAUCAGAUGAGCCUGCGUAAGAUUAGCUUGUUGGUAGGGUAAAAGCCUACCAAGGCGACGAUCUUUAGCUGGUCUGAGAGGAUGAUCAGCCACAUCGGGACUGAGACACGGCCCGAACUCCUACGGGAGGCAGCAGUGGGGAAUAUUGGACAAUGGGGGCAACCCUGAUCCAGCAAUACCGCGUGUGUGAAGAAGGCCUGAGGGUUGUAAAGCACUUUCAAUUGUGAAGAAAAGUUAGCGGUUAAUAACCGUUAGCCUUGACGUUAACUUUAGAAGAAGCACCGGCUAACUCCGUGCCAGCAGCCGCGGUAAUACGGAGGGUGCAAGCGUUAAUCGGAAUUACUGGGCGUAAAGCGUGCGUAGGCGGUUUAUUAAGUCAGAUGUGAAAGCCCCGGGCUUAACCUGGGAACUGCAUUUGAAACUGGUCAACUAGAGUAUGGUAGAGGAAAGUGGAAUUUCUGGUGUAGCGGUGAAAUGCGUAGAUAUCAGAAGGGAACAUCAAUGGCGAAGGCAGCUUUCUGGACCAAUACUGACGCUGAGGUACGAAAGCGUGGGUAGCAAACAGGAUUAGAUACCCUGGUAGUCCACGCCGUAAACGAUGAUAACUAGCCGUUGGGGGGAUUUACCCUUUAGUGGCGAAGCUAACGCGUUAAGUUAUCCGCCUGGGGAGUACGGCCGCAAGGUUAAAACUCAAAGGAAUUGACGGGGACCCGCACAAGCGGUGGAGCAUGUGGUUUAAUUCGAUGCAACGCGAAGAACCUUACCUGGUCUUGACAUCCUGCGAACUUUCUAGAAAUAGAUUGGUGCCUUCGGGAACGCAGUGACAGGUGCUGCAUGGCUGUCGUCAGCUCGUGUCGUGAGAUGUUGGGUUAAGUCCCGUAACGAGCGCAACCCCUAUCCUUAUUUGCCAGCACAUCAUGGUGGGAACUAUAAGGAGACUGCCGGUGAUAAACCGGAGGAAGGCGGGGACGACGUCAAGUCAUCAUGGCCCUUACGACCAGGGCUACACACGUGCUACAAUGGGAAGGACAAAGAGCCGCGAAGCCGCGAGGUGUAGCUAAUCUCAUAAACCUUUUCGUAGUCCGGAUUGGAGUCUGCAACUCGACUCCAUGAAGUCGGAAUCGCUAGUAAUCGUAGAUCAGAAUGCUACGGUGAAUACGUUCCCGGGUCUUGUACACACCGCC